CACGUAGGGCGCAAGCGUUGUCCGGAAUUAUUGGGCGUAAAGAGCUCGUAGGCGGUCUGUUGCGUCCGCUGUGAAAACCCAGGGCUUAACCCUGGGCUGGCAGUGGAUACGGACAGACUAGAGGUAGGUAGGGGAGAAUGGAAUUCCCGGUGUAGCGGUGAAAUGCGCAGAUAUCGGGAGGAACACCGGUGGCGAAGGCGGUUCUCUGGGCCGGUACUGACACUGAGGAGCGAAAGCGUGGGUAGCAAACAGG
rnacentral:rRNA from 1 species